CGUGUAGGCGGCUUUAUAAGUUGGAUGUAAAAGCUCCCGGCUUAACUGGGAGAGGACGUUCAAAACUAUAGAGCUUGAGUACGAGAGAGGAAAAUGGAAUUCCGGGUGUAGUGGUGAAAUGCGUAGAUAUCCGGAGGAACACCAGUGGCGAAGGCUAUUUUCUGGCUCGAGACUGACGCUCAGGCGCGAAAGCUAGGGUAGCAAACG
rnacentral:rRNA from 1 species